UUCAAUAAAAAAAUAAAUAUUAGAAGUACACGUGUAAGAGAUUAAAUAUCGAAGCACUCGUACGAAAGUCUCCGUAUAAAAUAUCCCUGAAAUCCAUCAGGUAACGUCCAAGCGAGCCUGAGACAGCACUUAGCGGAAAAAAUACAUAACACUGCGGUCCGUUGGAAAAUUUAAGAUAAUAUUUUCGAUGGAGACUUCAG
rnacentral:misc_RNA from 1 species